rnacentral:misc_RNA from 1 species
AAGUCGUAACAAGGUAAUCGUAGGUGAACCUGCGGUUGGAUCAUUCUUAUACGAGCGGAGUCUGUCGUCGCACGCAGUGUGACGGCAGACGAAGCGAAAGCUGUCUCUUCUUCCACUGCAAAGUGGGAAAGGUGACACAAUCACACCAACAACCACAAAUCAGAAGAAUGUGAUCAUGUCAUGCAUAUCACAUUCCAUCCAACACCAAAUAAUCAUAAUCCUAUAAUCACAAUCAUACAAACAAUAAUAACUUUUGACAAUGGAUCUCUUGGUUCUC